rnacentral:rRNA from 1 species
CGGAGCAUAAGGUUGGGAAAGUGACCAUAAUACUCCAUAGGAAAAUUGGUAAGGAAUAAUCUUUAACUGAAACCAUAUGCGCUUGACAAUAGGACUGCGCUCGAUUAGGUAGUUCCUGGGGUAAUGGCCCACCAAGCCUACGAUCGAUACGGCCCUUGAGAGAGGGAGCCCGGACAUGGGGAGUGAGACACGGCCCCAGGCCCUACGGGGCGCAGCAGGCGCGAAAGGUCCGCAAUGCACGAAAGUGCGACGGGGCCACCCCAACUGCCUAUGUAACUGAUAGGCUUUUAGUAAGUGUAAAUAGCUUAAACAAUAAGGGCUGGCCAAGUUCGGUGCCAGCAGCCGCGGUAAGACCGACGGCCCAAGUGGUGACCACUGUUAUUGGGUCUAAAGCGUCCGUAGCCGGUUUAGUAACUCCUUGUUUAAAUCCUCUGGCUUAACCAGAGGAGUGGCAGGGAUACUGCUAGACUUGGGACCGGGAGAGGACAAGGGUAGUCCAAGGGUAGCGGUGGAAUCUGUUGAUCCUUGGAGGACCAGGUAUGGCGAAGGCACUUGUCUGGUUCGGGUCCGACGGUGAGGGACCCAAGCCAGGGCCCCGAACCGGAUUAGAUACCCGGGUACUCCUGGCCGUAAAGUUAGCGAACUAGGUGUUAGGUAGGCUCUGUGCCUAUCUAGUGCCGAAGGGAAGCCGUUAACUUCGCCACCUGGGGACUACGGUCGCAAGACUGAAAGUUAAAGGAAUUGGCGGGGGAGCACCACAACGGGUGGAGGCUGCGGUUUAAUUGGAUUCAACGCCGGGCAUCUGACCAGGAGCGACAGCAUUAUCAUGACCAGGUUGACGAGGUUGUCUGAAGCGCUGAGAGGUGGGGCAUGGCCAUCGUGAGCUCGUACCGCGAGGCGUCCUCUUAAGUCAGGUAACGAGCGAGACCCGUGCCCUAUGUUGCUACUUU